rnacentral:rRNA from 2 species
UAGUUUGAUUCCUGGCUCAGGACGAACGCUGGCGGCGUGCCUAAUACAUGCAAGUCGAACGAACUCUGGUAAUGAUUGGUGCUUGCAUCAUGAAUUACAUUUGAGUGAGUGGCGAACUGGUGAGUAACACGUGGGAAACCUGCCCAGAAGCGGGGGAUAACACCUGGAAACAGAUGCUAAUACCGCAUAACAACUUGGACCGCAUGGUCCGAGUUUGAAAGAUGGCUUCGGCUAUCACUUUUGGAUGGUCCCGCGGCGUAUUAGCUAGAUGGUGAGGUAACGGCUCACCAUGGCAAUGAUA